rnacentral:rRNA from 1 species
GAUGAACGCUGACAGAAUGCUUAACACAUGCAAGUCAACUUGAACUUCGGUUUGGGUGGCGGACGGGUGAGUAACGCGUAAAGAACUUGCCUCACAGAUAGGGACAACAUUUGGAAACGAAUGCUAAUACCUGAUAUUAUGAUUAUAUGGCAUCGUAUAAUUAUGAAAGCUAUAUGCGCUGUGAGAGAGCUUUGCGUCCCAUUAGCUAGUUGGAGGGGUAACGGCUCACCAAGGCGAUGAUGGGUAGCCGGCCUGAGAGGGUGAUCGGCCACAAGGGGACUGAGACACGGCCCUUACUCCUACGGGAGGCAGCAGUGGGGAAUAUUGGACAAUGGACCAAGAGUCUGAUCCAGCAAUUCUGUGUGCACGAUGAAGUUUUUCGGAAUGUAAAGUGCUUUCAGUUGGGAAGAAAAAAAUGACGGUACCAACAGAAGAAGUGACGGCUAAAUACGUG